UUAAACACUGAGUACAAGACAAUUUUCAGU
rnacentral:piRNA from 1 species